AUGCCCUACAUACCAGCUGACGUCACAAACCUAAAGGCAAAAUACCGUAGAGAGAGCAAGUUGGCUGACAUAGAAGUCACGACGGCCUACUUCGAUGAGAAAGCGAAGGAAGAUCCAGAUUUCUUCUACAGGAUAAGAUUGGACGAUGAGGACCGUGUCAGGAACAUGUAUUGGGUGGAUGGUGCUGCAAGAAUAGCCUACAAACAUUUCCGAGAUUGCAUUUCAUUCAGCGCGACAUAUCUCACUAAUAUGUACAAGAUGCCAUGCGCUCCAUUCAUAGGAAUAAAUAACCACAAUCAGUCGUUGCAGUUCGGAUGCGGGCUCGUUCGGAACAAAGACACGGAUGGGCAUAGAGAAGGUCUUUCCGUUGGCAGUGCACACGCACUACAGGUGGCACAUUAUAAAGAAGGCCGAGGAGACGCUAGGACCGUUCUUUGCUGA
rnacentral:rRNA from 1 species